ensembl:lncRNA
GACAGAAAAGUAGGGAUGGGGGUGGGGGGGAGGUCCAUGCUGAGAGGUGAGAGCCCGGCAGUACCUGGGCGCCCCAGAGCUGAGGCCGGCAGUCGGUCUGAGGGGCGGGAUCGGGAACAGGGAAAACUACGGAAAUGCAGCUUGAAAAGGUAGUGUGUGGAAGAGGCGGUCCAAGGCGGCGUGGACCCCCGAGAAGACUGGGACCAGGCAGCAGCCGCGGCGUGGGCUCCCGGCGCUCCUCCCGCCUCCCAGCCCGUCGCACGCCGAUGCCCCCGCCCACCGCGCCUGCUGCAAGUCAGGGACUCACGAGCAGCAAACAUACCGGGGAACUUGCUCCUCGAGGGGAAGGUGGGCCCGGCAACCUGACCCUGCGCGCAGCCCAGAGAAGCGAAAACUUGUGGAAAUCGGACCAUGCCCUCGGGGUACGGAGUCAAGGACACAGGUCCCCAACGGGCACAAGAAACAGGUAGCAUUCAGCAAGUACGUCACGGGUGACGACGGCGCGGCCCUCCUCUUGGGGCAGGUGACCACAAGGUGGAGCUACAGCGCAACUCUGCACAGCGCGCCUGGGCCACCCGGAACGGUCCCUGUGGCGGCUGCUCUCCUGCUUCCCACUUGCAGCCCUUCAUUGCCCCAGGUGGACCUCUUGCCACCUCCAACCCGCGAUUCUCCCCAUGAUGACCCCUCAAUGUCAUGUCGCAUACAACCCUAGAUUGAAGGUGCAUCCUCCACCCAGCCCCAGCGCUGAAAAGAUUAGACUGUGCCAAAUGGGCAUUCAAUUCAUUGAAUAACCGAUUAACGGACAAGAUUCAGGAACGAAUGUGUCUUGAAGAAAAGACUGUGCACAGCAAAAGCCACCUGUAGGCACAGAAUUACAUGGCUAGAUGGGCUCUUUGGCCCCCAGCCUCUAGGCAGGAAAUCAGAUAAAUUGCAUAUGUCAGGGGAGACAGCCAGGUCGAUAUCUCCAUCAUCUUAUAGUUCUCCAGGAAAGGCCGUGUUGUCAUCUCCUUCAGUCACUGUUCCAAGCUGUCCUGUCCCUGACACCCUGUGCCUUCUACACAAGAACACGUGCACACGGAUCAGAAACAUUCUCUUGGCAAUCUCCUUGUCUCUUCCUCUGUUCUAGUUUCAUUUGGGGAGAAACUUCUGGUGACUCAGUGUCUUCCUAACCACUUCAGGUCAAAAUCCCAAGGGGAACAGAUUCCAUGGAAGCUUGGGGCAUGCCACCAUCUGGGCAGAGGGCCCUCAUAGUUCAAAACCUCCUGCUGGCAAAGUUCACCCCACGCCAACCCCACCAACAUUCCACCUCAGCCAUUCUCUCUUCCUUGCUGUUGGCCAAUGCAGACAGGCCUCAGACUUUGGCUGGUGGGGGUCCAUGACAGGGUGUUCACUCCAUUAUGAAAGCGUUGAUCCUGGUCAGCAGCACUGCUGUUUCUAAGCCUGGGGAGAGGGGCAUAUAGGGAGUGAGCAAGGGGAAGGCUAGAGGAGGAGAAAAAUGAGGUGAGGGGAGAAAGUUCUUACCGGUUCUCUCUCUCUCCUUAGCACAUCUCCUAUAGGGAGAAAAGCUUAUCAUUAUGAGUUCAGCCAGCUUCAAGCACGACCUUUUGACCCCGAGUUCCCCCAGACUGCCUUUCCCAAAAG